GAUGAACGCUGGCGGCGUGCCUAAUACAUGCAAGUCGAGCGAACGGACGAGAAGCUUGCUUCUCUGAUGUUAGCGGCGGACGGGUGAGUAACACGUGGAUAACCUACCUAUAAGACUGGGAUAACUUCGGGAAACCGGAGCUAAUACCGGAUAAUAUUUUGAACCGCAUGGUUCAAAAGUAAAAGACGGUCUUGCUGUCACUUAAAGAUGGAUCCGCGCUGCAUUAGCUAGUUGGUAAGGUAACGGCUUACCAAGGCAACGAUGCAUAGCCGACCUGAGAGGGUGAUCGGCCACACUGGAACUGAGACACGGUCCAGACUCCUACGGGAGGCAGCAGUAGGGAAUCUUCCGCAAUGGGCGAAAGCCUGACGGAGCAACGCCGCGUGAGUGAUGAAGGUCUUCGGAUCGUAAAACUCUGUUAUUAGGGAAGAACAUAUGUGUAAGUAACUGUGCACAUCUUGACGGUACCUAAUCAGAAAGCCACGGCUAACUACGUG
rnacentral:rRNA from 1 species